UACGGGGGGGGCAAGCGUUGUUCGGAAUUACUGGGCGUAAAGGGCUCGUAGGCGGCCAACUAAGUCGGACGUGAAAUCCCUCAGCUUAACUGGGGAACUGCGUCCGAUACUGGAUGGCUCGAGUUUGGGAGAGGGAUGCGGAAUUCCAGGUGUAGCGGUGAAAUGCGUAGAUAUCUGGAGGAACACCGGUGGCGAAGGCGGCAUCCUGGACCAACACUGACACUGAGGAGCGAAAGCCAGGGGAGCAAACGGG
rnacentral:rRNA from 1 species